AGCUCUUUGACCCAGUAAAGUACUCUGAAAGUUUAUCCUUGCCAAAGGUUGUUGUGAGAGGAGCUUUCCAGGGGUGGGGGCCAACGCUAUUUGAGAAGGCACUGAAUAUAUUACCGAGAACUAGGGCGAAAAACCCACGGAGAAAUGUAGAUCGUGUGAUAUUUGUGGGUUAUUCCACUUACAUUGCCUGAAGUGAAUGAAUAUUCAACCAAAAGCAAUUUUAGUCUAGACUAUGAAUCUGUAACAACUUUAAUUUCCAUUAUGGGCUGAAUUUCAUUUCGACUGCGGAGAUGAAAAGGUCAUGAUCCAAUACGGUGCCGUCAUUCAGAAGACUUGCAAGGAUGCGGUGGGAGGGGUUUAUCUCUAAUAUGUUCCUCGGUCCAUCGCAAAGCUGAUCAGACGCAGAAUCGCCGAGCCGGCUUUCCUUCUCCGACGGUGAGAUAAACAAAAUGUAUCGUUUACUACGGCACUUCAACAUCUGCGACGAAAAGACUGCAAAGGACGAUGACUGCCGACGUCUGGAAGAAGCACAGGCUGUUACUGAAGGAGUCAGUUUAUCUCAUUCUAUGGACACCAGACGACUGUUUGAAAAAAUUGGAUUUUCGUGUCCCUUAAAGGCUUCUCACCUGGCUCCACUGUCAUCCCACGCAUCUGCGUCACCCCCCCCCCCCAAGUCAUGAUGGACUCUGCCUAACAGCUACACUGCCUGCGGCAAAAAGCCAUUUUUUUCAGGAUGCCCUGACUAGGACAGCGGGUCAGCGGAGCUUAUUGAAAUCCCUGCAGUGAUGGGGAACAAAGCUCGGCCAUGAGGGGGCAGCGCUGCCCCACAUACAGCCUAGGAGCUAAGGUAUGGUACCCUCCCAUUUCCAGAACUUUGACUACAAACUUAUUGUUUCAAUCAGGUGCUAGAAAUCAGAGAUACUGCAAAGGUUGAUGAAGACAAAAUGGCUGCACUGAGAGAGGGGAUGUGGGCAGAGUGUCGUGGGCAGGGGCAGUGAAGAGAAUUGCGCAUCGGGAUUUAUGGUGGUUAAAGGCAGGGAGGAAUACAGGCUAAAACGUUGGGAAUAACUGACAGGCCGCUGAUGUGCUCUCAGGACCAGGGUCUGUGCAACACUGCCAAUUGCGGACCGAGAAUGGACCCGAGGUUUUGAAGUGCUAAGAGGUGGGAGAGGAACACCAUGUGAUUCGUGUGGUCGAUGAAUGGGGUCAUGGGCCAACCCACUUCAUUAGACGCCCCCCCAAACCAAGCUCAGCUUUGGGUUUGGUAUGGUCCGAGCUAUUGUACAAAGUGGGCUAACUGACUGCGUGGGGGGCGGGUGGGAGACGCACCGGGUCGUGUUCCAGUUUCUGCUGCUCUCCUCUCCUCUGUCCCGCUCCAGGGGAGCGUCCCUGGGGCUUGCCGGACGGGAGAUGGAGAGCUCAGGGCCCUGGGCCCGGUUCGCCGGGACUGCCUGCAUCUUCAUCUGUUCCCGUUACCAAAAUUGGGUCCUGUCGAGGUUGGGAGGUGCACCUGGAAUGAAGAGAUUGAUUACUGAAAAAAGGAGACAAGGUGGAGCUGGGCUGGGGGAGACGGAGGAGAACAAGACCCAGCCUGCCAGAUGAUGAUGAGGAACCUUGCCAGCACCUCAUCCUCAUCCACCUCCCUGAAGACAAAGACCUGAACAGCUUCAGGACGCCCCCCCCUCCCCAACUCUGCUUGCAUUUUUUUGCAUCCCACUCAUGCUUGGCAGGUAUCUGGGUGUUUGUGAAGACGCUUGUCCAAAAUGACUUGGAAAACAUGGACGCUUUUCAAAAUUCUGUGUUGCAAACAAAGUGAUAGGUACACGUGGUAGAGAAUUGGCGUGUAAAUGAAGGUGGUCUACGGAGGGGAGAGGCAGAUGGGAGCGUGUGGUCAGGGAAGCAGGGUGGAGAGAGUUGCAAAAGACGAUUUCCCUCCUCAUCAUGUGACACAGACACACCCAAGCUGGGCAGAGGGGGAGCAAACACUGAAAAUCAGGCUGUAGCACAGAAACCUUUCUGUCAGUUUAUACAGUACAAAUCACUGUCACCGCAGGGAGUUCUAUGUGUCAGUGGACUGUUGGCAUCUCCACAGCGAGAAACUCAAACGGUACCUGCUGGCUAUAGUGACCGAGGAGCUUAUCGAGUUUGUGUCAGGGCGACUUCGAAGGGGUGGAUCUUGGAUCCCAGGUUCGACAGCGCAGAGAGAGAGAGAGAGAGAGAGGGGAGUUUGCAGAGGCGGCCGUUGCCAGCUCACGCGGCAGAGCCGUGCGCCGUCAGGAUGCCCCGACGCCAAGAUGCGAAGAGCAGCAGCGUCAGGGGAAAGUGGAGAGGCGAGCUGGUGUUACCAUGCCGACGGGUUUUUAAAGAAGCUGACGGGGGCUGUUUGUUUAACCCCUGCUUGACUGUGGUGGGGAGGGAUGGGAGGGUGGAGCGGUGUCCACAGGAAUGGUGAGGCCAACUUUCGUGCUUGUGAAAGGCUGUUGGGGCUCCGUCUCCUGAGGCCUGGCUUGAGGAGAUGCUGGUUGACUUCACUGUUGGUGCAUGAGGGAAUGUCUGUCCCACACGGGUGUGACAAGCGCUCCCCUUAAAGGGGUCCGAAGGCUGCCUGUCCAGGAGGCUCACCUGCGUCUCAUUUGUUCCUGGACUAGGAUUGAUUAACCCUUUGUUUAUUAACGCUUGGUGAUGUGAAAUCUAACAUGUUGAGCUUUCUGCUAGUAUCAUGUGUCACUGGAAUACUAACAUUGCACACUAACGUACAGCUGUGAUGUCCUUUGUCACCAAAGCCCGCUGAAAAUGCUUCUCCACUGGCUGUUUCAGUGUCUAAACCCCUAACAAGGCUGUCAUGAUUCUCUGUCUUUCCACGCACUAAUGCCUCUCCAUUCUAUCUGGUAGAUAAUCUCAGUGCGUUGACUGGCUGUUUAAUCUCGUUCCGUCUCGGAUCCUUCCUCUCAGCUUCCUGUCUUGUGGUAUGGGCUGCAUGCAAGAACUCCUCCCGUUGCCCUGGAAACAUCAGCCGCGGGGGGGGGUUAUUAACUACACUAAUGGAUACUAACUAAGAUUAACCGGCUGAGACAAAACCUGGCAAGCACAGACUUCCCGUGCUGUUUAUAACAUCGCUGCUCUUUUCAGCGUGUGUGUGUGUGUGUGUGUGUGUGUGUGCGCUUACUCCUCUUCUCUCCUCUGUCUGUGCAAGCAUAACGAGACAUCAGCCUGUCUGUCUGUCUGUGUACAACCGGCACUUUUAAGCUGACGUGAUCGUCUGUGUGUGUACACGUCUGUAUCCGAGUCACACUUUCGCCAUUUUCCUGUCACAGAAUUGUCUUUAGGUGUAACAUGCUCCAUUGUGUAUAAAUUCCUUAAAACACACUAACCACAGUUCCCUUGGUAUCAGUGAGUGAUGAAUUAACUGACUAACACCUUUACUAACUGCGCUAACGUUCGGCGGUUACACCCCAGCGAGGCAGUGGUUUGUGUGCUGUGUGGGCAACGAGAACACCCGCUGCCGUAUGUAUUUGGCAAGGUGUUUGUCCAAAUUGACUUACAAAAUAUGGUCACCUUUCAAAAAUUGGGGCUGCAAGCAAAAAUGUUUCUCGAGUCUUCUUCCUUAGCCAGUAUGCCCCCUGCUGUCAGAAAGUGAUUUAGGUUACACUUCUGCUCUAGAACACCCUCUUCUGAAGGUACUUCCUGAAGGACGGUCCUGACUCGCACAGUCCUGCAAGGUCACCGCCUGCUCGACAACAGAAGGGAGUGAUGGUGAACUCAGAUUAAAUCCGAGCUCUGCGUCUUUCCGUUUCGCCCCGUUGGUCACAUCCUGGUCUCGCUGGGGUUGGCUUCGGGUCAGCCGCUGUGCUUUCAGGACCCUCUUCCCAGUGGAAGGGCAAGUCACACGGGAAAUGUGCAGUCUGCACCCUCUGUAAUGAAUAUUCAAAGGGUGCUUCUAAAUUAGCGGAGUGGAAUUUGCAUUAAUUAAGGGCGGAAUGUGCAGGAGGGAUGUUGACGGUUGCAGCUGCCACCUCCUUGCUGUGAAAAUAUGACCUUCCGAUGGAAAAAAGGGAGAGGAGAACCUACUUUCUGCAUGCUCCUGUUGUCUGGCACCUGGAUUGCAGAGUAUUAACACCAAGGGCAUAUGCCAUCAUCCUUUUAACCUGACGACAGUGCAACUGAAGUGAAUUAGUGCUCAUGCUGCUGUACUAACCAGUGGUGCUGAUUGAACUAACAUCCUAGAACUCAAUAACCAAGGCUUGAUUGCUCGGGAUGGGACAAAAAGAUGCAGUCCUCUUACUAACCCACUCUAAACCCUGACUAACACGCCUCACCUGUGUUUCUGUGCAGUUGUGUUUGAAGUCAGAAAAUGUAUGAGCAUGGCUGUAUUUCAAACCCCUUUCAUUUAGCACCUGUCAUGAAUCCACAACUACUAACCUGAGGAAAUUACUAACCAGAGAACGGUACCGAACCGUGUGAGUGAUACUAACCCAGGCCGUGAGAAGGCUGUGCUAACAUUAUCUGGCUGGACGGUACAAUGCUAACACUAAUGCUAAUGCUAAUGCUAACACGUGCCUUGCUCUGAAAAGUAAGCGGCCAAAUCAUUCCUGUGUCUGAUAUGAAGUGAUAAAGGAAUAAAAGGAGAGAACAAAGGGGGAGGCUUCCAGGCCGGUUUCUACUGCUCCUUCUUUGGAGAGAUUUAAUUUGCAUGGUGGAGAAGGAGAUUAUGUGAGAAACACAAGAAGAAAUGCACAUCUCCCUGGGGAAAAGUUAAAAAGCGAGUAAAGCCUCUCUGUGGUAUAAGCUGGAUGACACCAUAGAGUACUUUGUUAUGACAUCAUACAGUGCUUUGUUGUGACAUCAUAGAGUGCUUUGUUAUGAUGUCACAGAGAGUGUCGGAGCUAAAUAUGAACAAGCUCUAAAGCACUGCUUAUGAGGCCUCAUUUCUCAGUCUGUGUCAUACCUACAGCUCCUCUAGAUUCCCACCGUUUUUGUUCCCCCCACCUGUAGCAAUUAUCCUACCAUCUAGGACUGGUUUAAACACUGGUUUAAAAUCUGCGAGAGCUGAACCUGAAACAUCAGCACAUCCCCUGAGGAGGUACUACCAAUAAACGACUCCUCAACAUUGUGCCCUUGAUGGAUGUAGUUGCUUUGAGUGCCUCCUGGUGGAGGAAUGAUGCAGCUGUUGGAAGGCCUCACAACAAGUAGUCAUGCUCGGUUCUUUGUAACUCUAUGUGGGGACAGCUUCACAAGAUUCUCAUCUCAGCUUAAGAGCACUGAUAUACCUAUAAAUAAGGUAUAUUUUUUUUACUAAGGUAAAAAUAAUUCUAAAUUUGAAGAGACAGGUGGACACAUUAUUCUGUUAGAGAUUUGUGCACAUUUUUAUUGAACAUGCUCCACCGAUUCCCAGUCCAAUUACCCUCCUGCCUGUAUGAAAUGUAUGAGAUUAAACAAUCUGCAGCCACAAUUGUCUAAAGUGCCAUGUUUUUUCUUGCACGCAAGCCAUUUUUGCCAGUCUUAUCUGAUCUCGUGGGUGAUAUCCUCAGAUUUUAAUGUUGCCGUUUCCAUAUGGAACUGAGCCGGGGGAUUUAAGCGAAUCCCCAGGAAGUGCCGCUGCUGCCAAAGCAAACAGAAGGAGCAUUUUCUCUGCAGUGAUCAGGUCGCACGCAUCGCAGCUGCAGGCAGAGAUGCUGAGGUGUGUCAGGAACAUCUCAGAGCAUCUCAGCGUCACAAGGCCAGUUCCAGUAAACAGACCAAUAAGCCCCAGUUCAUGACAGGAUUUUCUCCCAGCAGGCAGCUUUUACACAAAGGAAGGCACCUCUUGAUUUCAGCUCUCUUUUAAAUGCUCUCCACUGUCAUACCCACGUAUAUGUUCUUAGAUAUCUGUACAGUGCUGAUUUAUGUUGUUUGAUUGUGAAUAAAACUUUGUUUCAGCAGGA